CUUCAGCGACCCCAGCCACAACGGCUGCUCCGCCGAACGAUCACGGCCAUAGGUGGCCAGCAGCGCCUGCGCCUC
rnacentral:antisense_RNA from 1 species